CUUCCUCUUGAGCUUCUGCUGGAAGAAUAUCUACAGAUUGCUGAGAAAACAAACUGAUUAUAAUGCGUAAGCUUACAGUGAUUAUUUAAUAGUUGCCAACGGCAUUAUAUUCGAUGUGGUAUUAGUAAAAUUAAGCGUAGCGCAGAUCACCCUCGAAUUGUGAAGUAUUAGAGAAGUUUGCGGUAAAUUGAUAGAUGCAUGUAUGGCAUACACUCUACAAA